rnacentral:rRNA from 1 species
GUAGGAGCCUAGCGUUAUCCGAAUUUACUGGGCGUAAAGCGCGUGCAGGCGGCUUCGUAAGGGGAUUGUGAAAUCUCCCGGCUCAACUGGGAGGGGACGGUCCCGACUGCGAGGCUGGAGGCAGGGAGAGGGAGGUGGAAUUCCCGGUGUAGUGGUGAAAUGCGUAGAGAUCGGGAGGAACACCUGUGGCGAAAGCGGCCUCCUGGCCCUGACCUGACGCUGAGACGCGAAAGCUAGGGGAGCGAACGGGAUUAGAAACCCCGGUAGUCCUAGCCGUAAACGAUGUCGACUGGGCGGCGGUGGGGUAAAAGCCAUCGGUGCCGCAGCUAACGCGCUAAGUCGACCGCCUGGGGACUACGGCCGCAAGGUUAAA